rnacentral:tRNA from 3 species
GCUCCCAUAGGUAAACGGAUAUACCAACUCCCUUCUAAGGAGUAAUUCCAGGUUCGAUUCCUGGUGGGAGCG